AAACCAACAGGGAUUGCCCUAGUAACGGCGAGUGAAGCGGCAACAGCUCAAAUUUGAAAUCUGGCCCUCGCGGUCCGAGUUGUAAUUUGUAGAGGAUGCUUUUGGUGCGGCGCCUUCCGAGUUCCCUGGAACGGGACGCCGGAGAGGGUGAGAGCCCCGUACGGUUGGACGCCUAGCCUAUAUAUAGCUCCUUCGACGAGUCGAGUAGUUUGGGAAUGCUGCUCUAAAUGGGAGGUAAAUUUCUUCUAAAGCUAAAUACCGGCCAGAGACCGAUAGCGCACAAGUAGAGUGAUCGAAAGAUGAAAAGCACUUUGAAAAGAGGGUUAAAUAGCACGUGAAAUUGUUGAAAGGGAAGCGUUUGCGACCAGACUUUUUCCAGGGGAAUCAUCCGGUGUUCUCACCGGUGCACUUCCCCUGGUUUAGGCCAGCGUCGGUUCUCUUAGGGGGAUAAAGGCUUGGGGAACGUAGCUCUUUCGGGAGUGUUAUAGCCCCUCGCGUAAUACCCUUCGGGGGACCGAGGAUCGCGCUCUGCAAGGACGCUGGCGUAAUGGUCGUCAACGAC
rnacentral:rRNA from 2 species